rnacentral:rRNA from 1 species
GACGAACGCUGGCGGCGUGCUUAACACAUGCAAGUCGAACGGAGUGGCGAACGGGUGAGUAACACGUGGGUGAUCUGCCUUGCACUUCGGGAUAAGCUUGGGAAACUGGGUCUAAUACCGGAUAGUGCAAGAUGAGCUCGCGGCCUCUCAGCUUGUUGGUGGGGUAAUGGCCUACCAAGGCGUCGACGGGUAGCCUGCCUGAGAGGGUGUACGGGAACAUUGGGACUGAGAUACGGAACAGACUGCUACGGGGGGCAGCAGUGGGGAAUAUGGCACAAUGGGCGGAAGCGUGAUGCAGCGACGCCGCGUGGGGGAUGAAGGCGUUCGGGUUGUGAACUCCUUUCGACAGGGACGCGGUACCUGUAUAAGAAGCACCGGCUAACUACGUGCCAGCAGCCGAGGUAAUAC